UAUCAGCUGAUAGAGAAGUAU
rnacentral:piRNA from 1 species